rnacentral:tRNA from 1 species
GCGGGAGUGGUGUAACGGUAGCCACGCCAGACUUAGGAUCUGGUGCCUUCGGGCGUGGGGGUUCGACUCCCCCCUCCCGCA